rnacentral:rRNA from 1 species
GAUGAACGCUGGCGGCGUGCCUAAUACAUGCAAGUCGAGCGAACAGACGAGGAGCUUGCUCCUCUGACGUUAGCGGCGGACGGGCGAGUAACACGUGGAUAACCUACCUAUAAGACUUGGAUAACUUCGGGAAACCGGAGCUAAUACCGGAUAAUAUAUUGAACCGCAUGGUUCAAUAGUGAAAGACGGUUUUGCUGUCACUUAUAGAUGGAUCCGCGCCGCAUUAGCUAGUUGGUAAGGUAACGGCUUACCAAGGCAACGAUGCGUAGCCGACCUGAGAGGAUGAUCAGCCACACUGGAACUGAGACACGGUCCAGACUCCUACGGGAGGCGGCAGUAGGGAAUCUUCCGCAAUGGGCGAAAGCUUGACGGAGCAACGCCGCGUGAGUGAUGAAGGUCUUCGGAUCGUAAAACUCUUUUAUUGGGGAAGAACAAAUGUGUAAGUAACUAUGCACGUCUUGACGGUACCUAAUCAGAAAGCCACGGCUAACUACGUG